UACGGAGGGUGCAAGCGUUAUCCGGAUUCACUGGGUUUAAAGGGUGCGUAGGAGGGCAGGUAAGUCAGUGGUGAAAUCUUCGAGCUUAACUCGGAAACUGCCGUUGAUACUAUCUGUCUUGAAUACCGUGGAGGUGAGCGGAAUAUGUCAUGUAGCGGUGAAAUGCUUAGAUAUGACAUAGAACACCAAUUGCGAAGGCAGCUCGCUACACGAAUAUUGACUCUAAGGCACGAAAGCGUGGGGAUCAAACAGG
rnacentral:rRNA from 1 species